AAAUAAGUUAAAAUGCUGAUUGGCUUGUGUUGAGGUAGAUGGGUGUAUACAAGCCACCUGAACUACUUUUAAGGGUGUGCACACUGGCUGCCAGUCAUCUGUUGAACCAACUGUUAAUAGGAAACAUUUGACUCCUGAACUGAAUAUACAACAGUUAUUUUCUCUCCAAUCUUAUCAACUCCCACUAAAUAAAAUGGGGAACGAGACUUCACGCUCAAAUACCCACGUGGCCAACGCAACCGGGAAGCAUCUUCGGAUUUUCUAUGGAGUGGAUACAAUGAGGCUGGAAGAAAUGGUGAUAAAUGUGGGGGGAGAGAUAGGAGGUACAGCAUCAAAAACUGAACAAUCAGUAUCAGGGAAGAUUUCCAGCGAUGUAAAGAUGGUUUUUAAACCAGACUCCCGGAUCCGUUACCUUCACCUGCCGGAGAACGAGACGUGUAACUUUACCGGGGAAGGCACCAUCUAUGCCUCUGUCCUUGUGGAAGAUAAAAACAACGACAAAAACUGCACUGAAAUCAUCUGCCACAAUUUCCAUGUCCCCAGCGACCGGUCUUUCAUUGUGACUGCCAAUCAUAGCAUCAAAUUGCAGAAGUAUGGUGCAAGCCUUUGGGUUGAUGAAGCAGGCCAUAACCAUCACCCUUAACUUUCCUCAUCAUCCUCCUCCAUUAUCAUGUCAAGUUCUAAUUUUGAUAAGCAUUUUUUGUUAGCUGUAAAUGCUUUAUUUCAUCAUUGUUAGAAACAUAAGGUGAAUAUUUCUUCUAAUGAAAACAUCUUGUUUGUAAAACUUUGGAAAUGAAAUUUGUGAAACAUAAAAUAAAAAAGCUACCACAUUUCUGAUGCUAAACAUUUCUGGGACAUCAUUAUUAAGAAAUAAACUAACUUUCGCAAGGAUGGUAUUUCAAUAAAAGCAAAACCUUUUCUGCUCCUAACAAUCAGGUUAUUGGUUAAUGGAGUGAUGAGCAGUAAAAUGACAGAGCUUAUUCAUAUGGAAACAAAGAAACCUCAACACAAUGUGUAUCAUUAAUAAAAACAAUAAUUUUACUAUAGUGCUUUACAAAUUUGCAUUGUGAUAAAUGCAGAAGAGAUUAUUAAAAAAAUUACAUUGAUUAUACAUUUUAUUGAGCUUAUACAGUUAAAGAAAUAAUCACGACAUAAAUAAGAUGCAUCAAACCUGAUAUUUUGCAUUAUUAAUAUUAUUACAAUAACACACAUUUAGGCUGCACAGUGACACUGUGAAUAAAAAACAUGAAAAUAGUAAAGACAGAAAAUAUCUUCAACAUUUAAAACAAACUACCAACCAAAAAGAAAUCAGUAGCUGUUCCUUGCUGAAUACCCAAUCUGCUGCUCCAAGUCCCCUCCCUCUAAUAACCAGGAAACUGUCUCCUCUUAGACUGUGUGAACAGACAUUCUCCAAACCAGCAACCAGUCUGCAUGCUAAAUAAUUUCAGACCAAUAUCUAACCUUCCCUUUCUAUACAAAAUACUUCAACAGCUAACUGCUUUCCUAGAAGGUAAUAACAUUUCUGAGACUCUUCAGUCAGGGUUUCAUGCAGGCCAUUGUACACAGACAGGUUGUUUUUUUGUUGUUGUUGUUGUUGUUUUUUACAUUUUUCAGUGAUAUACUGUAGCCUCUGAUAAUAACAGGAAGAACAGGAAACAUCUUAUGAGAUCACUUAAGAAACAAGAGCAGUUAAGGUGAAAUAUUAAACCCCCUGAAAGCAAGCCGGGGCUUCAAAUAAAUGUGGUUGUUUUGCAAAUGUUAAUCAAAAUACGGGAUUCUGAUUUCACGCCCACAUGACCAGGCCAUUGUUUCCUCAGCCAAGCAAGUUAAAUUAAUUUCUUACUUUCCUACUUUCUUUAAACGCAGGUGGCCAUUUAAUAAAACAAUUUAAGUAGAGAAUUUAUUAUUUUAUAGUGUAUAUGUUGUUUAUUUUUAAUCCACAAAAAGCAACUUCAAAACUUUCUGUAACUAAUAGAGAAAUAAGAGUAUCUGGUUAUGAAACCUUAUGCCCACAGCAGAUGAUGAAAUGUUCUGUGGUAAACUGCAACUGGUUUUCGUUUGUUUAAUUUUAUUUGCACACUUUCACAUUUCCAUUGGUUAGUCAAGUCAUUUUAAUUUGUAUAGUGCCUUUCACAACACACAUUAUUUCAAAGCAGCUUUACAGAAAAUCAUGCAUUAACAGAAAAUGAAACCAUAAUAUCUAUAGAGUCUUAGAGUCAUCAUUGUGUAUUUUGAUUAAAUACGAUUAUGAAAUUUGUAUAAAAAUAAGUAAUUAAAUAAUAAUUGUAUUUAGAAUCACAGUAAGCAAGCCGAAGGCAAUUGUGGCAAGGAACACAAAACUCCAUAAGAUGUUGGCUAAUGGAGAAAAAUUACCUUGGGAGAAACCAGGCUCACUGUGGGGGCCAGUUCCCCUCUGGCUAAAAGCAUGAAUAUAAUGCCAGUAUUACUUAUUUAUUUGCAGUGCAAGUCAUGGUUUAAAAUGAUUAAACUAAGUAAGUGUUAAGGGCCAGUGUUUAAACAAAGAUUUAAGAUUAAUAACUAUUGUCUUUGAAGUUCAUCCUGGAUUAACUGCAGAAGUUCAUAAAGAUGCAUUUUCCUUUGUUAGUUGGCUGAUGAAGGCUUUUGUUGGCAAUUUAUUGAUAAUAUAUUUAUUCCAUUUUUUUUAUCCCCUUUUUCUCCCAAUUUGGAAUGCCCAAUUCCCACUACUUAGUAGGUCAUCGUGGUGGCGUGGUUACUCACCUACAAUCUGGGGGGUGGUUGCCUCCGCUUUUGAGACAGUCAAUCAGCGCAUCUUAUCACGAGGCUCGUUGUGCAUGACACCGCGGAGGCUCCCAGCAUGUGGAUGCUCAUGCUACUCUCCGCGAUCCACGCACAACUUACCACGCGCCACACUGAGAGCGAGAACCACUAAUCGCAACCACAAGGAGGUUACCCCAUGCGACUCUAGCAACUGGGCCAAUUUGGUUGCUUAGGAGACCUGGCUGGAGUCACUCAGCACACCCUGGAUUUGAACUCACGACUCCAGGGGUGGUAGUCAGCAUCAAUACUUGCUGAGCUACCCAGGCCACCCUAUGUAUUCCAUUUUAAGAGUGUAGACCAUCAUUAGACCAUGGUGAUGCAGGCAGAGAUCUGUAAGGUGCUUUGCAGUUCAACCGGCCGGUAAUUUUGGUGAGGUCUAUCCUAAGUCCAAGGUUUAGGCAAUGGCAUAUGACGUAUCCCAUGUCUUAUGGUUGGAGUUGGCAUCUGUUCAUCCUCUGAGGUCCAUCAUAAAAAACUGAAGUGAUGUCUGGCUGGCACUGGCUGCAUUUAGCUGUCAUCACUCAGAGACACACAGCAGUGGAGUCCGAUACCAAGCAGGAAUGGAGGUGGAUCCGGCCGCUUCUGGUGACAUCGGGAUAGGAGUGCCGAGGUUGAGACAUAGAAACAAAUAGAAUAAUAAUAUUAGCGUUAGCUGUAAUCACUUUUGAUUCCAAGCUUUUCUUGCAUAUGUAACGGUGAUGUAUUUUUCUCUAAGGGACUUUUAUUUUGGUGGGUGGUGCUGUCUACAUUGUGCGUGAGAAGAACGCACACGCUGAAUGGAUGUUGGAGAAGAGAGACACGCUGUGAUCGCUGUUUCCAGAGUUUUCCC